rnacentral:lncRNA from 1 species
GGCAGGGUCUGGACCAAAGAAUGAAAACAAGUUUAGUUUUAAAUAAAACGUCAGGAAGAGGAUUGCAAAACAAAGUGCAGUGGAAAUAUUGGCUUCUCAACUCUUUCACAUAUUCAGCAUUUAAGGGACAUAGUCUUUCUCUGGGGGUGCUGGAACCCAAAACACCUGGAUUCCAGGGGCUUGUGCUAAUACUGGUUACCUUAGAGCCUCUCUCUUUCCCUCAGUGAAACAGCACAUUCCUGUUCAUUUCCUGAUGGAGAGCUCCCAGGAGUUGGAACAAGAUGUUUUCGAUGGAUGCCCUUUAUCUUUGGAAUCCCUUCCUUCCUGGACUGGCAGAAUCUAAAUCUCUUGUCCUUCCACAAAGCCUGUUCCAAGGGGAGUUUAACCCACCGAAAGAGGAAUGCACAGAUGGAAAGCCUGUAGGAGUGGAUUCGAAAGGCCCGACUAAGACAAAUCCAGGCAUCAAAUGUGAGUUCCAGUCUCUGGAAACAAAUGACAAGAAUAAAUUAAUUUAAAAACAUUUUUAUAUUAAUGACUUUCAAGUUUUAGUAAAGAGAGCUAUUUUUCCUAACUUUGUCUUGCACAAAAAAUUGAAAUACCAUUUUAUAGUCCAGAUUUGAGUAACCAAACUGACCUAAGAUCAUUAAAUUUUUAGAAAAAAGAUCAUAUAAACACAAACUUUCCAAAAGCAACAUGUUUAGUAACUAACGAAGUCUAUUUUCUCCACUGAAAUUCAUUUUAUUGUGUGUCCCAUUGUCCUAGUAAAACUUGAGUGAGGAAAUCAAAAUGAAUGUUCAAAUAGGGCUAUGACAUUUUGCUGAUCUGGCUGGCUUUCAUUAACUCUUCAUUUGCCCAUUUCCACAAGGUUCUGUUGGCCAGUGUUGGUCACUGCCUGCAAAACCAUCCAUCCCUUUUCCUAAGUUUGAUUCAUAACCAGGACUGGGCUUCAUGCUCCCACCAGUUUGUCUUUAUCCUGCUAUUUCUCAGCACCUGCCAAAACCCUGAGGUGGUUUUUUAAGCCACUAGGGUCACUUGUGGUGAUCCAGAGCAGAAGGCAGGAAGGCCCCAUGAUGUUGGCAGAUCAGAGCAUUCUCUGAGUCUUGGCUCCUGUGCUCCCGCUUCCUGCCUGCUCGCCCUUGAAGGAGUCCCGGUGGGCUCCUGACCUGGAGGAUGCAGUUUCCACAAGUCAGAUGCUAUCAAGACUCCUGCUCUUGGAUUUUCAAUGACCUCUGCGUCCCUAGAUCGCUGACUUCCCCUCCCUCCCCUACCAUCCAGGUGUUUGAAAUGACAAGCUCCGAUUUAUUUGGCUCCCUUUCCCACUUUUAACAGAAACCAGUGGCUAAAGAUGUGCCAGGUGGUGCUCUUGAUAAACAACAAGUUCUAAUACGAGAUUUCCUCCUGGAACUCCAGCUCCUUUUUUCUGGCUGAUGACCGAGGUGGGAGGAAACUUGGCUGUGCCUUCUAGACACUUUUCCUUUGAUAGCUCAUCUCCAUUCUGCAUAGAGUGACAGGAGAAGAGAAUGGUAAGUUGGCUAUGCAGGAGUCCCUGAGGCUAUUUCUGGUGAUGGCCAUGAAUCACUCUAAACCUAUCCAACUUACUACAUUCCUGAGGCCAGGCCACCUCCCCCUGAGUGCCUGGUCUUAGGAUGGUGCCUAUGUGACACUGGGACUCCCCUAGUGAUGCUACUUAAUCCACCACAGCCACGCAGAAUCUUUCCCUUAGAUGUCUUGCGCAUUCCAUCAAAAUAUUUCUUAUCUCUGUUCCUAGACAUAGUAAGCGUUCAACAGAUAUUUUUGAAAGUUGAAUGAACUCUACUCAGUGUUUUAUCGUUUCAUUAAUAUUCCUUCAUUCCAGAAUUAAUGCCUCAAUCCAGUGACCGACUUCCUUGUUUCUAAGUUCCAUGAGAGACAGUGGAAUGCACUGGAGCCUGAAGUUCUGAUGGAGAUCACCUUUGACACUUACUAUGUAGCUUUGGCUAGUUUCUUCACCGAUGCAAGAAGCACUGAUUAGGGGCCAGCCCCGUGGCCGAGUGGUUAAGCGCCUUUCAUGUCUGCAUUUACCUGUGUACCACCACUCCAUUACCUGCAGAACAAAGCAAGCGGAGAUGCCAAGGUCUCACUGUGGGGACACCUGUGCUGCUCUCACCUGCAAAUGGGUUCGCCUGCCCAGCCACUGCAGAAUUCGACUUCUCCAAGCAAAACACAUUUUUUUCAAAGCGUUGGCUCUCUGCACAGUUGGAUGACAGAUCUUCCAAACACGGAGCAUCAGGGUAAUUAGCACGGCCUCCGAAGCCUCCUCUUCUUCAUUCAGGAAGCAAGGAAAUAAGGCCCUGCACCUGGGCUGGGAAGAUGCAAAACUAGUACUGCUCUGGAGCACUUCUCCACCUCCAGGAAUUCCUCCGAGGACCUCGAAUGGCUGGUCUCCACCCCCACCCCCACCGCCUGCCUUUGACAAGAUGGCAUCCAAGUGCAGCUUCAUAGCCUUAUGGAGGCAAGAGGAGCCUUUGGUACACAGAUGAUGAGCAAACUGAGGCACAGCGAGGUUAAGAACCUGCUAUGAAAUGGCAGAGCUGGGAUUCAAGCUCAGGCAGUCAGACAUUGGCGCCCACCUCUUCAUCGUUACGUAUGCACAGGGCGUACUGCAGACCACAUAGGGGUGGCAUCAUAACCCAGCUUUGGGGGGUUGAGGAAGGCUUCCCAAGGAGGUGAUUUCUAAGCAGAAUUGUAAAAGACCAAUAGGAACAGAGUCAGACAAAGAGACUGAGGAAGGGCUUUCUUAGAAGGAUUUGCAAGAUCGCCUACUGAGUUCCAGGCAUUACGCUAAGAGCAAGAAAUACAAAGAAAUGAAACAUGCUCCUUGACUUAUAGAUGGAAAUUUAGGCAAAUUGUUGGAACAAAGUGUGUCAAGGGAUAGUCUAGAUGUGCAUAAGAUGCUAUAGGGAGAUAGAGGAAGCAGGAAUCGAGCCAAGGGAAAUAGUUCCAUGAGGGCUUCCCAGGGGAGGUGGCAUCUGAGUUAAAUCUUGAAGGAUGAGUAAGAGUUUGCUAGACAAACCAGAAUUGGGAGGGACAUUUCUGGCAGAGGGAAUCACACGUGCAGUGAAAGGAUGAAAGAGCUUCCAGGGCUAAGGAAACAUCCAGUAGGCUAGGAAGAUCAUCAUAUUUUUCUUUCUUUUAUAUUUCCAGAAAAUGAGUCUAUAGUGUUGCAUAGCAUUGCCUCACACCCUCUGAGAGUAGAAGGUUCUGUUUGAUAUUGAACCUUUGUUCAUCUUCCUGUGAUAUAGACCCCCCCCCCAUACCUACCCUUGUUCUCUAACCAAGGGACAUACAGACUCACUGUCCUCACCCCUAGGGUACCACUUCAUCCCAGUGGAGAGUGCUCACUCAGCUCUCCUUUCUGCCCAGAUGUGAGGCAUUCAGUUCCCUUCCUGGCCACUUAGGAAGGAAGAAGCACAUAUUGAGAGUCACCCUGUGCAUAGAGCAAGGCUGGACAUUGUAGGGAAGAUAGCUGAAAUGUAAAGUGUUUUUCCUGCCAUCCAGAGGCUGCUCAUCAUCAGUCUAUAAAGUCUGCUUUUCAAACUUCAAAUCCCAACACUGUCACCCGCUCAACACCCUCCAACGCCCUGCCACAGCAUAGGGGUUUAAGCACCCGAGCUUUGACGUCAUAUGGACAAGUUGUGUGACCUUGGGCAAGUUUCUAAUCUUUUUGAGCCUUAGUGUUCUCGUCUAUGAAAUAUUAUUAACCUUGUGUGGUACUUUUGAGGAUUAAAAGAGUUAAAGUAUGUGUAGAAAUUCAGAUAAUUUUUGAGAGAAGUCACAGGAAGCAUAACUUAAAGUGGUAUAAGGAGAAAGGAGAAAUUUGUUGAUUUACAUAAUUGAAAAGUCCAGGGGUCAUGCCAAUUACAGGAGUAGCUUGAUCCAGGGGCUCAAAUGCUGUCACCAGAACUUGGUUUUUCUCCACCUCUAGCUCUACUUUCCUUUUUUGACUUUGUUCAAGGCUCCAUGUGGCGGCAAGAUGGCAGCCAAGAAGCACAGACCCUAUUCUCCUUUGUUCCAGUCCAACAUUCAAAUGAAAGUCCUGAGCCUGACACUCAUUGGUCUGAAGAUGGUCAAAUGCACAUCCUUGAAUUCAUUACUUGGCCAGAGAAUGGGACAUGCUGAUUGGCUUAAGCCUGGGUUCUGGGCCACCCCUGGAACUAAGGAGGGGUCUACUCAACUCAAACAUAAAAUAGUAUGUCCACUACAGUAGGUAAGUCACCUAGCACAGUGGCUAAAAUAUAAAAAGUCCUUAAUGAACGAUCACCAUCAUCACCAGGAUUCUAUUUCAGUCUGGAUAUCUCAAACAAACAUAACUCUAUUCUUAAACAAGAGCCCUCGUGCUGCUGAAUUGAGAGAAGUGUUAUCUGUAGCAGACAUUUGUCAUUCAUGGCUGCAAAAAUCUCUUUAACACUCUUUCUACAUUUUGAUAGUUCCUUAUGCUAAUGGGUCCUGUCUAGCCCAAAUAGAAUCCAAAAAAUUCGCUUUUCCCACACAACUCAUCCCGUCUUCACAACUACUAUUCAGUUUCUUUCAAUCCUGUGCACCCAUGAGAGAAUCUGAUUUGGAAGUGAGUUAUGGAAAAGAGAGGAAUUGGGGCUGGCCCCGUGGCCGAGUGUUUAAGUUCGUGUGCUUUGCUUCGGCAGCCCGGUGUUUGCAGGUUCGGAUCCUGGGUACGGAUGUAGCACUGCUCAUCAAGCCACGCUGAGGCAGCAUCCCACAUAGCAGAAAUAGAAUGACCCACAACUAGGAUAUACAACUAUGUACUGGGGCUUUGAGGAGGAUAAAAAAAGAGGAAGAUUGGCAACAGAUGUUAGCUCAGGGCCAAUCUUCCUCAGCAAAAAAAAAAAGUGAUGUACUUUAAAAAAAAAAAAAAAAAAGGAGGCAUGGAACAUCCAUUUUGCUGUUGUGGAUGGUGGGAGCCAUCCAGUUGAUUCUAGAGUCAGUUUGAGGCAACACUCUUAUCAGGUGAGUUCCCUAGGGUAGCUUUAGACAUUGCUCCAAGAUCAUUAGUCCAGAAAUUAUUCCUCUAGUUCUUCUGAAGAUUCUGUUGUGUUUACCACCUGUACCAAAUCCCUUCUUAGAUAAAGCAAGUAGAAUGAUAAUGUUGCCUGCAACUAAGAACACCAACCAAUAAGCCGCCCAAGAACUCCCCAGUCCUCCCAUGCGCAGGCUGGCAUCACGGUUCCCUGCGCGUGUGUCUCGUCUUCUCAUCAGACUGUUCUCCACGAUGCAAGCGGAUACCUUUUAAAAAAGUAAAUGCUCAGAAAAAUGCCAGUUCUGUGACAAAAUAAAUGAAUUCAUGACUGGCCAUUUGGGGAAUAUUAGAAGCUUAGAAUGUGAAGAGAUUAGGAAAUUAUUGAGCUCAUGGUACACACUGGACAGAUGAUAUUGAAGACCCAGAAGGUUAAUUGACUUGAACUGUCGUCUUUAUAUGUCUAGUUGAUAUUGUUUCCAUCAAAACUAUAAAAAAAAUUAUGGGUUUAACAUCAUAUCAAAUUUAUAAGGAUAAUAUUAAUUAUUUUUAAGGUUCUAGAAUUUCAUUUUGUUCACUAUUCUUUUUCAAAGAAAAAUUCUUUUUCAAUUGACAUAGACUUUGGACAUUUAUUUCUCUCGUCAUAGAGACAUGGAGCUUCAUGAAUCAGUGACAAUGCUAAAAAGGACCUACUCCGAAUUUGUCUUCUAGCGGCCACACCCACUACUGGCUUAUAUCAAGGUCCAGCGUUAGGACCAUGGACUCUGCAGCCAGAUGGCCUGAAUUUGAAUUAUAGCGCUGGCACUUUCUAGCUAUGUAACUAUAUGCAAGUCAUUUAUUCUCUUUAUGCCUCAACUUCCCAUCUGAUCAUUGGGCAUAGUGAUAGUACUUACCUGGUAAAGUUGCUGUGAGAACGAAAAGAGUUAAUAUUUGUAAAAUAUUUAGAACAGUGCUUCUUAGUACAUUGUAAGUCCUACAUGAUUGCUAAUUAAAAAAAUAUUUAAACAAAAAAACAUUUAAUUAAAAAAUGUUGAGCUUGCAGUUAACUAAAGCCUCACAUACGUGGCUGCCGAUUCAGUCUCCCUCAGUCUAAAAUUGUUCAAUUGAUUUUGUUUCCAGCCGAAAUGCAAGCCUUUGCACUUAACCCUGCUGAGUUUCCUUUUGGUGGCGCUGGCUCUGAGGCACUUUCAUUUCCCUUCACUUUCUGCGCUCACCUACCCGCCCCCCAGCCCCAGAGCAGAUGCUAAUGAGAGAGGUGGAAAAGGGAAGGGAGGCGUCCCCUGCAGACUUCGCACAGGGUCUGCAGUCCUCAAGAUCUGCCUGCAGCUUAGCUUUGGAGCCCAACCAAGUUUAAGUGGCUCUAAUUACUUGAAAAUGAGGCAUACAGUGAAAAUCUGACGAGCCCAUAAACUUAAUAGCUGAUCUCCAGGCAGCACUGCUACCAAACUGAUUUUUAACUGCCAUCAAAAUAAGCCCAGGAGGUUGUUAGCCAAAGCACCCCAGUAAAUGUCAUGAGGUGCAGGACAAUGGGGACAGUUGUGACUCUUACAAAACUGCCAUGUCCACAGGUGGAAUGAAGUGUCUGCCCUAUUAAGGAAUAGAGACACAAUUCAGGGAAGCAAGCCAUCCAAAUGCACCGCUUGAAUCCUGUUGGGCUGUUCUGAUGUAGAAGAAGAUAAGAAAAAGAAUUAACUGGGGAGACUUAAGAUGCGGAACUACAAAAAUAACCUUGUGUCCCUGACAUCUGUGUUUAUAAAGGCACGAUGUUAAACAGCAGAGAUUUUCCCUGUGGCUAGCCAAUAUCAAGAUGGUGCCUUGCGUGUUAUGUUUUUCUGUAGCCCUCAUCGGACGCCCUUCUCUUACUCUCCCUUUUCUUCCAGCUUUUGUUUUCGUCUCUCCAUAAAGAGUUGGCAGAAACGUAGCUGGGCAAUUUCAGAAACAUGGCUUAUAACCAACCUGCUCCACUAUUUUGCUACAAAAAGUGAGCCUGUGCUAACUGUUCUGUAAUGAAGUACUUGGUCCACGCCCCGCUUCUCGCCCAGGUGGUGAUUUUCCCCAUCAACAACCCCAGAGCAGGUUAGAAUCAAAGUGACACAUGCAGGAGCCAGAUGUUUGGAGAGUAAGAAGGGGAGGUGGAAAUCGAAGGACUGACUUUUGGAAUGUUCUGGAAUGUAACUCAGAGCAAGCUGAGAGGACAUUUUUUAGUCUUGUUUUUAAGAAAACAGCUGAUCACUUUCGCUGGUGGAAGCCCACGGGCUCCAGUUCAUGCCCCUUCAUUUUGUCUCUGUCGUCUGUGGAGACUUUGAAGAUGUUUACACAGCACCUCAACUAUAGAGAGGACGAGAACGUCCUUCAUCUUGGGCAGCUCCUCCUUCCAAGUCUUUUCAAAAAGUCAAGGAAUCUGAGACCUAAGAGGUAUAAACUGACUGGAGUGAAAGGAGGGGGUAAGUCAGAGAAGACACACCUUCUUCCUUUAAAAAAGGCAGUCAGGGGCCCGCCCGGUGGUGCAGUAGUUAAGUGCGCACACUCCAUUUCGGCAGCCCGGGGUUUGCUGGUUCGGAUCCCAGGUGAGGACAUGGCACCAUUUGGCAUGCCGUGCUGUGGUAGCCAUCCCACAUAUAAAGUAGAGGAAGAUGGGCAUGGAUGUUAGCUCAGGCCAGUCUUCCUCAGCAAAAAGAGAAGGAUUGGCAGCAGAUGUUAGCUCAGGGCUAAUCUUCCUCAAAAAAAAAAAAAUGCAUUCGUUAGUACUUUGGAUAGUCAUAUGACCACACACACCAAUUUAGAAAGCUUUAAAGGAGUAUUCAUUGAAAAAUAAUUCUCUCUUGCACUCCUGCCCCCCAUCAGCCACCAAGUUCCCUUACCACAGGUAACCAGUAUUACCAUUUCUAGGUGUCCAGAGACAUCCUAUGUAGGUAUAAACAUUUAUAUGUGUCUGUUUCCUAAAUUCACAAAUGAUAAUGUACAAUACACAUUGUUGUACACUCAGCAUUUUUCACUUAACAAUACAUCAGACAGAGGUUGAUUUUUUUUUUUCUGCCCAAAAUGCUAUCAGAAGGGAGAAGUGAUUCUUCAGUUCAAUGAUCUGCGUCUGGUUCUGGCUUAUUGUACUGACAGCAAACAAGAUGUCGAGUUGAACUCUACCUCAGCCUCAGGUAAUCUCAGCCUGGAGAAAUGGGAACCACAUUUAAAACCUUAAAACUUUAAAUAACAGGAAGUUUUGGGGGCAGGUAGAGGAGAAAGGGAAGAAGGGUCUCUGUUUCAUAGAAUGUUCUAUGGAAUGACAGUGGAGCAGAGACCCUGGAAUGCAGUGUUGCGAAACGAAAAUGCAUCAGUUUCCUUGCCUGAGUAAGCAGAACACAAACUUACUGACCAUGUAGUGUCAUUUUUGCUAGUUAAGGAUCUCUAGGAACAACAGAGCAUCAAUAUUCUGGACACAGUACAAGGGAAGUACAGGUGGAAAGAGAACAGGCAGAAAGGAAUCAAGCAGACCUGGAUAUAAUACUGACUAUAACAGUCAUUAACUUCAAUAAAUUACUUAACCUCUCGGAGCCUUGAGAUAAAAUAGAAACACAUACCUUAUACAGUGGCUGUGAGAAUACAUUAAAAAAAGAAAGAAGUCAGCCCUUGUAGGUGUCCACUAUGACUGUGCUAAUGCCACAUAACAAACAACCCCCAAUUCUCCGUGACCCGAAACAAUGAGCAUCUAUCUCAUGCUCCUGGGUUGGUUCACUGUGAUUGGUAACUUGCACAUUUUUACUUCUGCCCACAUUCUAUUGCCCAAAAUAUCACACGGUCAAGGCCAAAGUCAAUGGAGCAGGAAGGAUACUCUGCCCACAGUGAACCACAGCCCAGGCAGGCAGGGAAAAAAGAAUUGCAAACAAAAUAUAUAGGAACCCAGUACAGUAGCAAGCACCUAGAAGGUUCUCAUAAAUAGGAGUUAUUAUACUUAACUAUUUACUAUUAUAGAAUAUAUUAUUAUUAUAUUUAUAUAACACAUUAAAUAUAUAUUUUAAUGAUGGUAUUAUGUUAUAUAAUGAUAUAUCUAUUAUUAGUACCUUUACAUACCUUUACGUACUACAUACCUUUCACAUAUGAAAGGUAUAAGAGAUGGCACUAAAUUUAAAAUAAUUCUAAAACAGACCUUAAAAAGGAAGGUUCUUUUAAAGCACACACUUUAAAAAGUCAGUCCGUUUGUUUUCUCAUCAUUGAUAUACCUAUUCAGCAGUGGCAUAUACAGCACCUCUGUGAGGAUUUGAAAAACAUGUCCCCUCUCAGCAGGUGCAGCCCAGGGCCAGAGGCAUGGCAAGUGCAUAACAAAAAGACCCCCUUCCAUGGGACAGACACAGCUCUGCACAAAAGCAUGUGGCUUGGCACCUUGGAGAGCAAAAGGAGAGCCACCCCCUCAGCCAGCAGAUUGUGCAGUGUGGGACCUGCACGCCAUAUGCAGCACUCCUGAAAGUGAGAGGCGGCUGGGAGUCUCAUCGAGUGUUGGGUUCUGGUUCAUUGGCACCACUGCUAUAAGCAAUUUCCUCAGAGCUUUGAUUCACAGCUUCCUUUCUGCUUUCCAAGGGCUGGAUUAGAAAGUGGGAGCUUUGAGAACACCGUGGCACCAAUCUCCCAGAACCCCUGCAGCUUUUCAUCUCGGAAUCCAGACCCAGGUGAUCUGGCAGCUUCCAGGCAGCUCUCAAGCCUGGAAGCUGGGAUCAGAGAGAAAUGUACAGACUUACACAACUUAAUUUCUCUCAUCCUGACUGACAGGAUCAGGACAGGAGGGAAGAGGAGAGAAAUCUAAAGCAGCUUUACAGGCGCUGACAUUAUAAGCUUGUGGAUAGAUAAGCAGCUCAUGGGGAGUGGGGGUGCGAGGCAGCAGACAUGGAGUGAGAGAUUGAGAGAGGCACCCCCAGGGUGAGAUGGGGGUGGGAGAGCCUUAUGUCUACAUACACAUAACCACCAAUGUGAGAAAAGAUGUGGAAUUCAGUCCCGAAUGGCUUAUUUGGAAAACUAGUUAGGAAGUGGUUAACAAAUAAUGAUUCCACUGAACAGAAUAUUAAUUUCCCCCCAAAAGUUAUUUAGAACCUAAGCAUAGAAGGGAGAGGAAGAAGGAGAGAGAGGCAGACAGAGAGACAGAGACAGAGGAAGAAGGAGGGAGAGAGAGACAGAGACAGAGAGACCAAGAAAGAGACAGAGAGGAGAAAGGAUAGGAACGGAGUAGGAGGAAGACAGGAGCUAGGUCUGCAUUGACCCCAGUGCCGAGCACAGAGCCUGGCAUGGAGGAGACGCUCACUACUACAAGAGUGUGCGAAUGAGAGAGAAGAGAUGAGAGAUUGCAGUAUUGACCUCGAUGAUUUUACUCAAAGCACUGCCCAGCAACUAGACUGGAACAGCUCAAGUGCCCACCAUCUUGUCAAAUGUCUCAUUUGGAGAACCACCACAUGCUCUUUCUAGCAUAACUCCUCCAUCCUUUCCUGACUCCCUUCAUCAUCCUUCUAGAUCUUGUUCUUUUCUCCCUCUUCCUCUCCUGCAGGCAGAGCAUAGGAAAGCAUCUCUUGCUCACUGGCUUGACGGCGCUCUCUCUCUCUUUGGUUUUCCUGUUUUCUUGCUUGUAAGAGUCUGUUAGACACUUCCUCUGAGGUUUAUUUGCAGUCUGACCCAUGACUCUUUGAAAUAUUCUCUCUCAUGGUCUCUCACUCUAGUGACACCACGAGGCCCCCCCAUAGCAAGGCAUGGGGAGCAACAGCUCAUCCGGAGGUCUUAGCUGCCAGGCUGUGCUCCCCAUGCUGUCAAGGUGGAGGCUCCUGAAGAAGGGCAGAAGCACUGAAGGCUGCUCCCUGAGUGAACUCUCCUUGGACACCGGCCAGAAUCAAAACUUGGCUUCCUCUCACCCUUUAAAAUAUGGUUGGGCUCAAUGAGGUCUUACAAGGUUGUCUGGGCUUCCAUGCUCAGGAAUGAGUCCUGCCAUUGGGCCACCCAGCCUCGUCCCUGGACCUUUCCAGAUCCAUUCAGAACCCAGCUGCCAGUGUGGAGACUCAGCAAUCUAUCUGGUGGCGGCAUGUUUAUUUCGAAAACAGUCAUGAGACUUGAUUUGAUGUAGUGAAAGAAAUGAGCGCUUGCUGAAUAUGGCCCAGUUGUGACUGCAUUAAUUCAUGGAGAUUAGCAGCUGACACUGGCUGGAAGGUAUGAUCAGGACAUUUCAGUAAGUUUGGCUGAAGAGAAUGGCCUUUCCACGGCUGCUGCACCUCCCUUCCCCCACACCAAAGCUCCCAGGAAGACUUCAUAUCUGGAAUGACUUUCUCAACAAGGGCCCACAGUGUUAUUUUAAUGCUCGCUGGAAAUGGACAAACGGAAGCAUGGUUGGGAAAUGCCCCCAAAGUCAGUCAUCAAACUGAUGCCCUUUGAGACCUGCUUUCUCCCAAGCCCACGUUCUAACCAUUGAAUGACUCUUCAAAGAUGGAAGAAAUUCUAACACGCUACCAGGGAAAUACAGCAAGACAUUUUCUUGUGGAUCAUCCAACUUGGUAAGUGAAUUGACACCUUGUGUAAGCAGUUAUGUAUGUUCUCAGCUGCAAGGAACAAUGGCUUAAACAAAUAAAGGAUGAUUUUCUCACAGUUAUGCGUUGAACUGUGUCCCCCGACCCCCAAAAUCUUAUGUUGAAGCCCUAACCCCUAAUAUCUCAGAAUGCGGCUGCAUUUGGAGAUAGGGCCUUUAAA